rnacentral:rRNA from 1 species
AUUGAACGCUGGCGGCAUGCCUUACACAUGCAAGUCGAACGGUAACAGGUCCUCGGAUGCUGACGAGUGGCGAACGGGUGAGUAAUACAUCGGAACGUGCCUAGUAGUGGGGGAUAACUACUCGAAAGAGUGGCUAAUACCGCAUGAGAUCUACGGAUGAAAGCAGGGGAUCGCAAGACCUUGUGCUACUAGAGCGGACGAUGGCAGAUUAGGUAGUUGGUGGGAUAAAAGCUAACCAAUCCGACGAACUGUAGCUGGUAUGAGAGGACGAUCAGCCACACUGGGACUGAGAAACGGCCCAGACUCCUACGGGAGGCAGCAGUGGGGAAUUUUGGACAAUGGGCGCAAGCCUGAUCCAGCAAUGCCGCGUGCAGGAUGAAGGCCUGCGGGUUGUAAACUGCUUUUGUACGGAACGAAAAGCCCCGGGUUAAUACCCUGGGGUCACGACGGUACCGUAAGAAUAAGCACCGGCUAACUACGUGCCAGCCGCCGCCGUAA